ACGAAGGGGGCUAGCGUUGUUCGGAAUUACUGGGCGUAAAGCGCACGUAGGCGGAUAUUUAAGUCAGGGGUGAAAUCCCGCAGCUCAACUGCGGAACUGCCUUUGAUACUGGGUAUCUUGAGUAUGGAAGAGGUAAGUGGAAUUCCGAGUGUAGAGGUGAAAUUCGUAGAUAUUCGGAGGAACACCAGUGGCGAAGGCGGCUUACUGGUCCAUUACUGACGCUGAGGUGCGAAAGCGUGGGGAGCAAACAG
rnacentral:rRNA from 2 species